rnacentral:tRNA from 1 species
GGUGAGAUGGCCGAGCGGUCUAAGGCGCCAGACUAAGGACCAGGGCAUAUUAUGCCCCGAAUUUACUUGUAAUCUGGUCACAUUGUGGCGUGGGUUCGAAUCCCACUCUCAUCA